GUGCUCACUUCAGGAAGACAUAUACUAAAAUUAAAAUGAUGCAGAGUACAUUAGCAUGGCCUUUGCCUGUGGAAGACAAGCAAAUUUGUGAAGCAUUCCAUAUUUUU
rfam:Otolemur garnettii contig163080, whole genome shotgun sequence.